GACGAACGCUGGCGGCGUGCUUAACACAUGCAAGUCGAACGCUGAAGCUUGGUGCUUGCACUGGGUGGAUGAGUGGCGAACGGGUGAGUAAUACGUGAGUAACCUGCCCUUGACUCUGGGAUAAGCCUGGGAAACUGGGUCUAAUACUGGAUAUGACAUGCCACUGCAUGGUGGUGUGUGGAAAGGGUUUUACUGGUUUUGGAUGGGCUCAGGCCUAUCAGCUUGUUGGUGGGGUAAUGGCCUACCAAGGCGACGACGGGUAGCCGGCCUGAGAGGGUGACCGGCCACACUGGGACUGAGACACGGCCCAGACUCCUACGGGAGGCAGCAGUGGGGAAUAUUGCACAAUGGGCGGAAGCCUGAUGCAGCGACGCCGCGUGAGGGAUGACGGCCUUCGGGUUGUAAACCUCUUUCAGCACGGAAGAAGCGAGAGUGACGGUACGUGCAGAAGAAGCGCCGGCUAACUACGUG
rnacentral:rRNA from 1 species